AGCUGGCUGAAGAUGAUAAGAACAUGUUCUGUAAUAACAUGUAAACACUCUCCAGUUCAGUUCAGAAGAGACGCUGAGGUGUGUGUUCGACUGCGAGAGCUUCAGCGCUGGACUGAAUAUGGAUCCUCUUCUGCUCAGUGAAGAUAUGAUGCUGAAACAGAAUGAAGAGAAAUGCAUGUCAGAUGAGUUGAUGGUCUAAUUAAACAUUAAAAAUGACAAAGAAAGAGGACGAGAGACAAUCUAAUGAACCCGGAGAGAAACAGACACCGAGACGAGUCAGACACAACAGCAUUAACGGUGGAAAACCAAACUUUUGUCAUGAUUCAGACAGACCACCAGAGACGUUCACAGAUGAGAAAGCUGUGCUUCCUUUCAUCGGAACCAGCAGAAAACUCUCCAUCAUGUCCAGCCACUGAAUAAAGUGGUGGAUACUCUU